rnacentral:rRNA from 1 species
GUACCUACGGGGCGCAGCAGUGGGGAAUAUUGCGCAAUGGGCGAAAGCCUGACGCAGCGACGCCGCGUGAGGGAUGAAGGUCUUCGGAUCGUAAACCUCUGUCAGCAGGGAAGAACGGUCACUGUGCUAAUCAGCAGUGAAUUGACGGUACCUGCAAAGGAAGCACCGGCUAACUCCGUGCCAGCAGCCGCGGUAAUACGGAGGGUGCGAGCGUUGUCCGGAAUUACUGGGUGUAGAGGGAGCGCAGGCGGGAAGCCAA